AUACCAUCACUUCCCUGACAUACCAUCACUUCACUGACAUACCAUCACUUCCCUGACAUACCAUCACUUCACUGACAUACCAUCACUUCCCCAUCUCAUUGUCUAAUAUACACCUCAGUAAAAAGGAGGAUGGAGGGAGAAAGUUCAAGGCGGCGCUGGUCAAAGUAGACACCCCGUUGAGCUUCAGUACAUUAGCACUUGUUUCAAUAGAACUGUCCUGUCCAUUAGCACUUGUUUCAAUAGAACUGUCCUGUCCAUUAGCACUUGUUUCAAUAGAACUGUCCUGUCCAUUAGCACUUGUUUCAAUAGAACUGUCCUGUCCAUUAGCACUUGUUUCAAUAGAACUGUCCUGUCCAUUAGCACUUGUUUCAAUAGAACUGUCCUGUCCAUUAGCAGGUCUAAACAUGCGCUCUUAGAAUGUCAGGCUGGAGUCCUGAAACCAGUGUGCCGGUGUUUUCUUCACCAAGACGUCUUGGAUACAGGUUACUGUGUGCAACUCUCAUGAUAGAUACUUGAUCAGAUUCUGACGGCGUGUGCGCUAGUUCUUCCUUCAGGCUUGUUGUAUUGACAGAUAAAGAUCAAGUGAUAACAUGACACAAGUAUUUAUAAAAAUAGAUCUUGUAAACUAAUUUCGCAAUGACUGACACAAUGUGUGACGCAACUGUUUCCCCACUUCAAUGUUGUGUAAGUUUAAGAACAGAAAACUCUAGAGCCAGGCCAUUACAUCAAUAACUUGACCUUUACUCAGUUGGAACACAGCGUAUAAUGAUAGAGACCAGUACAAUAGCUUCUCCAAGUCAUACUUAUUCAAUGUCAUAAAAAGAAUUUGUUGAUAUAAUAGAUUUCCGAAUUGGCUAGUCAUUAAACUGCCAAACUCCUUAAUAAUAUUUUACACGUGUUAUAUAACCACAGAGCGACCCGAUGCUUCUGGAAGCUUCGCGAAAAGAUUAGUAUAUUUUGGACUUCUAUAUUUUGUUUUUGGAAAUCCCAUUUUGUACUUGCUUUGUAAAUCGAUGGUCGUAACACUUUUGUGCGGGUAUUACUUGCUAUUGGACUGAACAUGUUUAAAUCUUCAUUAUACCCAAAGGCAAGCCUCAUUAUUCUAUCUAGCUAGAUAUUUGUUUUAUAGACAUUGCUACAAAGUUAGUACCUGGCCACCCUAGAUGUCGCUAGACUUUGUCUGCUUCAAUCAAAACUAAAAUGCGUGUAACUUAUACAACCAGUGGACUUCUGUUUCAGUGGUGUCAGCAAUCAAAAGUCAGUGCCAACAUUGACCGAGUUCGCCUUCGUGAGUCAGAAUUAAAAAGUAGAUCUAUUCCCUCCCCUGUACGCGUUCUCCGCUGUAUGAGUUUAUAUUAGCACUAGCCUAUAGAAGACAUUGCGAUCUGUUCAAUCUGAGCUACGUUCUGUGCCAGCCAAGGGACCUAACUUCUGGUCAAGUUUGUUUCUUUAUCCUUCCUCUACACUUACAUCGACAUAUACAUGGAAACAUUCACCUUCACUAGUUGAUGGAGCGAGCGGCUAGCUCCAGUAGUCUGUUGACUCGUUGGGGCAUCACACAAGAUCUGUUGACCGUCUUUCUCCAUUCUUCUCUGCCUUCUGCCUUGGAUAGAAUUUCUUUCAUGUUGUCUUCUCGUCGCUUUCUCUGUCUGCCUCUUCUUCUUUUUCCUGAUACUGUUCUUUAACGGAAGGUCUUUGCGAGCCCUUAGGACCUUGUGAUAUGGCCAUUGAUUUUUCUUAAAGUCCUCGGAGGGCAGCAUGAUAGAUCAGAACCGUACGAUACUUUCAGUAACAUGACAGCCAGUAAGAUGAGAUCAAAACUGGUGCGAGCCUUCUAUUGUCAGUCAGUCAUCUCCUGCUACCAUUUGACUUGAUUGAACGGAAGGAUGACACAAACUUGAAUUGUUCUAGUUGUCUCCCUUGGGAUAUUGAGCUAGAAUAGAGUGGGGGGAGGGAGGAUGUGGGCAGAACAUUACCUGAGCUCUUUGCUUACCUGUUGGCGGCAUUGUGUUCGCAACUAAUUACUUGGACCGAGCGCUCACUUAGUGCAGGAGGAAGAUUUCCUCACUGAGUGAGGGGACAAUGCAGGGAGAGGGGCCAGUCUUGAAGCUCUCAGAUGGUGAGGUUACAUGUCAUCUGGGUGUGAGCUUUGCUUUUCAAAUGAACUCACUAGUUGAUGGAGCAGCUAGCGCCAUUACACUCUCAUUGGGAGCUUAAGAGUAAUUACACUAAUUGUUUUAGGUUCGACAACUCUUGUUUUCCCCUUUUUGUUGAGUUGUCUGACAUGUCAAUAGACGAGAUUGACUAGAUAACUAUGUUAAGUGUAGUAUAGCCACUUUGUGGGGGUGAGGAAUUUAUCCUUUCCCACCCCACCGCCCCUUUUUUUGUUCUCUCCUCCCAUCCAUUGAAUACACCGCUUUGACCUUCCAGGUACGUAACUCAUAUGGUAACUAUACACCAGAGUUUGCCUUAGGUCUCUGUAGAGCGAAUGAGAAGUCCUGCUCAUAUAGAGCUGACCUUUACUAACGCUUCGGGAGGAACUCCCGCUUCUUUCUCACACACGUCAGAUUGAGGCUAAUGUCCACUUUAUGAUAUUGGAGAGGAUUUUACCUACAUCUCGCGAGCGUAUGAACAUUUAGGAAUCCUGCGUGUAGGGUUGGUCAGAGUGGGGUCAAGUGAGACAUUAAGUCUAUCUACCAGACUAAAGUCAUCUGUGCUGGUCUAUCUAUCAGACUGAACUUAUCUGUGCUGGUCUAUCUAUCAGACUGAACUUAUCUGUGCUGGUCUAUCUAUCAGACUGAACUUAUCUGUGCUGGUCUAUCUAUCAGACUGAACUUAUCUGUGCUGGUCUAUCUAUCAGACUGAACUUAUCUGUGCUGGUCUAUCUAUCAGACUGAACUUAUCUGUGCUGGUCUAUCUACCAAACUGAAGUUAUCUGUGCUGGUCUAUCUGACUGAAGUCAUCUGUGCUGGUCUAUCUGACUGAACUCAUCUGUGCUGGUCUAUCUGACUGAACUCAUCUGUGCUGGUCUAUCUGACUGAACUCAUCUGUGCUGGUCUAUCAGACUGAACUCAUUAAUGUGCAGGUCUAUCUGACUGAACUCAUCUGUGCUGUCUCUUUACUAUCACAACCAAAACUGUUCCAACAGUUAUAAAACAAAAUCCUGAUUCUGAAAAAAUGGUCAAAUACGUUAUCACAGAAAUCCCAAACCCUCGUACAUUUAGAAUCAAACUUUGUAUUGUUGUUGGUUUUUACACUUGGACAGAAAUCCCCUCUAGUAAUUUCGUAAGAGAACUAUCAAGUCUAUUACAAGCGAAUGUCUUAUGGCCCAUUCUUGUUUGCAUUACCAGACGAAUUCCCAGAAUUAUUCAUUGGGCUUUGUUUCUGAAAAAAACAACAGAAAAAAAAUGCAUGUCUUUAGAUAAUGGAAGUGAAUUAUGUAUGACAUUUGGUGAAUAUGUUUUUGCGUGACGUUUCAUUGGCUGGCAUCAAAAAGCUAACCUCUUUAAAGAAAAGCUUGCGUACCCAAACAGCGUUACGUGGAACAAUGAGUGUAGAGACAAAGUGUCGUUUGUUUUGUACUUGUGUUUUGAAAUUAAUUUAUUGUAACAUAAUAAAAGGUCUGAACGUAUGAACAACUAGCCGACCUCAUGGUAUCUUAUUAGAAACGUCUAUCCGAUCUCAUGUUAUCUUUCUCUUUAUGAACUGCAGGAGUACACUAAAUGCCUUACAGAUCAUCAAUUUAGGUAAUGAAAACUCCUCAUUACUUCUUGUAGGGUUAUGAAACUUUAGGACCUAGCACUGAGUUCCUGACUCGGAUACAGACGUUAGUAGUUUUAUUCUAGACACUUCUGAACAUUUCUUACAUGCAAUGGUUUGAAAGUGCUUACGCCAUAAUCUGUGCACACACACGAACGCACUAACAUAGUUUUACAGCAUAUGUAUGAACGGAAGUCUAAAGUAAGUUUCUAUAUGUUGUUGGGUUAUUUUUAAAACUUCAUUUGCUCUAUUCUGAGUAGGAAUUUAUCUUAGCCGUGAAUUCUAAUUGCCCUUUGAGUUCAAAUUGACCUUGAAUUUUAUAUGACCUUGAGCUCUGCGUGACCUUGAUCUCUAAUUGACUAUUGUCUAAAUUCAAAAACACCAAGCUACAAUGUUAGACUGUCUACACCUACGGGUCACAUCAUUAUGUUAAUCCUGUUUGUCUUGUUUCUUAAAGGAACUCUAAAGGUGAAUCUUGUUCUGAAAUGAUAAUCCGAGGCAGCUCAUGGCCACCAUAAAACAGACUCUUCCUGUCACACCAGCGACAUCCUAAAUUUGCUUCUGCACUACACUCUGAUCCGAGUUUAAACCGUCGGGUUUGAUCCGCAGUAGCCCAGUCUGUGAUUACAAAGUCAAUCUGACGUAUGACUCAUAGAACUCAAUGGCUGGAGAAAAUCGUUAGUGAAGCGGUUUUUCAGAUUGUUUCAAGAGAUAGAACGCUCCGUGAAUACAAUUCCUUAAUCGUCACCGUCACAUGCUAUCAAUGCGAUCCCAUCUGCAAAGAUUUAUGAGAGAAUAUUUUAAGCUGAAACUUUCAACCCAGUUUUUAAGUUUGAAUUUUACUUUAAGAGUUUCCUACUUUCUGUUUUUAGAGUUUCCUACAGGCUAGUUGGCAUUUAUUUUGUGUGUGGGUUCUUAUUUUUAGGUUCUAAAUUGAGAAACUAAAUUUGUUAUUUUAAAUUACAUUUUAUUUAGGAUAAACUUUUAUAUAAAAAUAUAAAUAUACAAAGUCAUGUAAGGUUUCUAGAUAUCAUGUUAGUAUAAGUUCUAACAUUGUUGUAGCCAAUGUACGAGUAUUGUAUGGGCUCUGAACUUUCGUUCGGUGAUCUCGAUGGUCCCGGGUUCGAGCCCCUCCCGCUGCCACCCCCACCCCAGUCGUUUUGCGUGUGCAAGGAUGUAAUUAUCUUCAACUAAAGGAACAUCUAAAAACGUGAGGAUAACCAUUUUAAAUCUGAUCCCAUUGGCCGUGCCAGUGAGUGGACACAUUCCCAUCUCAUUUCUCCAAUAAACCUCAUUCACCAAUCGUAAACAAACAACAUUGAGCCACGUGAUUCUCUAUAUCUGCUAUACAAAUUAUGUAAUCCAUAAAGGUUGUCACGUGAUACGUAUUUUUCAUUGGUUUAUCAGUAUUAUGAUGUGGCUAAAUGUGUUUAUUUAUGAUUGGUGAAUGAGGUCCAUUCCCUUAAUAAAAGAACGGAUUGUGACUGAAACGCACGACAUCAAGUUGUAUAUUGCAAGCUCGUAAUGGAGAGUGUGUUCGUAUGGGAUGAAUUAACAAACUCUAAGAUGCUAUUUAUAGGACAAGCAGACGUAUUUAGUUUAGGAAGCGAGGGCUGAUGAAAAAGGAGACCCCAUGUGUAGACUUAAAAAAAAAGGUGUCAAAUGGAUGUCAAUGAUGUCUGUGUCAUUCUAUAACAUCGUGUGAGUGUAUGUGUAUUUUGAACAUCUCUCCACUGAUAUUUAACUACUGUAGAUGUUUGUGAAUAAAAAUGUGUUUAUUUUGUUAAAGAGAAAGAUUUCGAACCAUAUUUCAAAUGUGUGUGUCAUUUGAAAUUAUUCCUACUUCAACAAGAGAAGUUUUUACAUUAGCCAUCAUGAGAAACAUCCCAUCACGUACCCAUCAACAAAGUUGCCACAUUAAAUAGUUAAUAGUUUAUAUCAACUGUUACUUAAGACCACAGAGAAACUAGUGUUUGAUAAUAAUUCAGUA